UACGUAGGGGCUAGCGUUAUCCGGAUUUACUGGGCGUAAAGGGUGCGUAGGUGGUUUCUUAAGUCAGAGGUGAAAGGCUACGGCUCAACCGUAGUAAGCCUUUGAAACUGGGAAACUUGAGUGCAGGAGAGGAGAGUGGAAUUCCUAGUGUAGCGGUGAAAUGCGUAGAUAUUAGGAGGAACACCAGUUGCGAAGGCGGCUCUCUGGACUGUAACUGACUCUGAGGCACGAAAGCGUGGGGAGCAAACAGGAUUAGAUACCCGCGUAGUCCCUGAGCGGG
rnacentral:rRNA from 1 species